GCGGGGGUAGCAAAGUCUGGUAAUGCGCGGGACUUAAGAUCCUGUGGUCUAGCACCUUCGAGAGUUCGAAUCUCUCCCCCCGCA
rnacentral:tRNA from 1 species